rnacentral:rRNA from 1 species
CCUACGGGCGGCAGCAGUGAGGAAUAUUGGUCAAUGGACGAGAGUCUGAACCAGCCAAGUAGCGUGAAGGAUGACGGCCCUAUGGGUUGUAAACUUCUUUUAUAUGGGAAUAAAUUGUUCCACGUGUGGGAUUUUGUAUGUACCAUAUGAAUAAGGAUCGGCUAACUCCGUGCCAGCAGCCGCGGUAAUCCGGAGGAUCCGAGCGUUAUCCGGAUUUAUUGGGUUUAAAGGGAGCGUAGGUGGAUUGUUAAGUCAGUUGUGAAAGUUUGCGGCUCAACCGUAAAAUUGCAGUUGAAACUGGCAGUCUUGAGUACAGUAGAGGUGGGCGGAAUUCGUGGUGUAGCGGUGAAAUGCUUAGAUAUCACGAAGAACUCCGAUUGCGAAGGCAGCUUACUGGACUGCAACUGACACUGAGGCUCGAAAGUGUGGGUAUCAAACAGGAUUAGAUACCCGGGUAGUC